AUUGAACGCUGGCGGCAUGCCUUACACAUGCAAGUCGAACGGUAACGGGCCUUCGGGUGCCGACGAGUGGCGAACGGGUGAGUAAUACAUCGGAACGUGCCCGAUCGUGGGGGAUAACGAGGCGAAAGCUUUGCUAAUACCGCAUACGAUCUACGGAUGAAAGCAGGGGACCGCAAGGCCUUGCGCGGACGGAGCGGCCGAUGGCAGAUUAGGUAGUUGGUGGGAUAAAAGCUUACCAAGCCGACGAUCUGUAGCUGGUCUGAGAGGAUGAUCAGCCACACUGGGACUGAGACACGGCCCAGACUCCUACGGGAGGCAGCAGUGGGGAAUUUUGGACAAUGGGCGCAAGCCUGAUCCAGCCAUGCCGCGUGCAGGAUGAAGGCCUUCGGGUUGUAAACUGCUUUUGUACGGAACGAAAAGCCUUCUUCUAAUACAGGAGGGUCAUGACGGUACCGUAAGAAUAAGCACCGGCUAACUACGUGCCAGCCGCCGCCGUAA
rnacentral:rRNA from 1 species